GGCCACAUCUGCCAGAGCCUGGAGUCUGCGAAGGCCGGGACCCGGUUCCCCGGCCCACCGUGGGGGGGGGUGUGCAAACCCGAGAGAACUGGUCGCUGAAACCUCUACAACUUAGUUGACCGUAACUGCCAGAGCCCUGCCCUGAAUUCCUGUCCUUACUCCCUCUUUAAGAUUGCGUACCCACUGCAGAGUGCUGAAGACGGGGUAGCCACGAGGUUGCAAAUUCGUGAAGAAUCAGCAUCAUGUUUGGCAGCUGAGUAUUGGAGCCAGGAGCCUGCCAUGAGGUUAUAUUCCCAGAGGAUGUCAGUCCCAAGGACCAGUAGCUGCCAUCAGUUUGGAUUCUGAAAACUAACCGGCAUCAACACUGGGUGUAGAAACAUGCUUGCCUUAUGUAUCAGAGGACAUGCUCAGCAGAUCCAAGAGAUAUAUUUGGCAACUUUUUCUAGAAAAGGCACAUUGGGUAUCAUUCAUUACAUUCUUGAGUUUUUUUGGUUUUUUUUUUUUUUUUUUUUUGAGACAGUCUUGCUGUAUUGCCCAGGCUGGAGUGUGGUGGCACAAUCACAGCUCAUUGCAUCCUCAAUCACCCAGGCCUAAGCAAUCCUCCCACCUUGUAGCUGGGACUAUAGCUCACAGCACACCUGGCUAAAAUUUUUUUUUUGUUAAGACGGAUUCUCUAUGUUGCCCAGGCUGGUCUCAGGCUCCUGGGCUCAGAUGGUCCUCCUGCCUCAGCUUCCAAAGGCACAGGCCAAGUUGUAGCUUUGUCCCUUGCCAUCAUGCCCAACAAGAGGUUCUAUACCUUUUAAUGAAUUGACUUUCAUAAAUUGGUUAUGUUGGUGGGCAAGUUCUUUAAGCUGGAAAUUGUAAAUUCCUCCUGAAAUGUUUUUUCAUGCAGUUACCAUGAACUAAUACUACAAUAAAGGAUGGUCUUGGGUGUCAAUUCUU
rnacentral:antisense_RNA from 1 species